rnacentral:rRNA from 1 species
GUGGGGAAUCUUGCGCAAUGGGCGAAAGCCUGACGCAGCAACGCCGCGUGCGGGAUGACGGCCUUCAAGGUUGUAAACCGCUUUCAGCAGGGACGAAAAUGACGGUACCUGCAGAAGAAGCCCCGGCUAACUACGUGCCAGCAGCCGCGGUAAUACGUAGGGGGCAAGCGUUGUCCGGAUUCAUUGGGCGUAAAGAGCUCGUAGGCGGUUCAGUAAGUCGGGUGUGAAAGCUCCGAGCUCAACUCGGAGAGGCCACCCGAUACUGCUGUGACUUGAGUACAGUAGGGGAGCGUGGAAGUCCUGGUGUAGCGGUGAAAUGCGCAGAUAUCAGGAGGAACACCAGCGGCGAAGGCGGCGCUCUGGGCUGUAACUGACGCUGAGGAGCGAAAGUGUGGGUAGCAAACAGGAUUAGAAACCCCGGUAGUCC